UACGUAGGGUGCAAGCGUUGUCCGGAAUUAUUGGGCGUAAAGAGCUCGUAGGCGGUUUGUUGCGUCGGCUGUGAAAUCCCGAGGCUCAACCUCGGGUCUGCAGUCGAUACGAGCAAACUAGAGUGUUGCAGGGGAGACUGGAAUUCCUGGUGUAGCGGUGAAAUGCGCAGAUAUCAGGAGGAACACCGGUGGCGAAGGCGGGUCUCUGGGCAACAACUGAC
rnacentral:rRNA from 1 species